ACUGAGGUGACCGUAGGCCCCGCGGGGGGGCGGGAGCUGCAGUCGCUGCCGACACGAGCGAUGGACUCAUUCAUGUGAACAGUCGUGCAGGGCACGAUCCUCCAGUAGAUCAAAUAAGGGACUAUUUUUCACGUGAAUCUGGAAUCAGGGCUGACAAAACUUACACUCACACCCCUCUGGGAGAAAAAAGAUCCAGCUUGACGCUUUUUAAUCUUAACUGCAUGUCCCCUAGUUUGAGCAGGUGUUUUCCUAACAGCAAAAACAGGAGGUGUGGAAAAUCAGCUUAUCAGCCACGAGCCGCUCCAUUGGAUACACAGUCUUAUUGCAGGAGGCACACGACUCUUUCAUCUGCGGUGGGAGAAACGACUGGUUGAAAGGAGAGAAACCAAAGUUAGUUAAUCUACUUGAUGAAAAAUAAAUUUAUCCCUGAGUAAGUGGUGGAUGGAGGGUAAAAGCAGCAGGGCUGAGCAAAAAAGAUGUGAGAAGCAUUAAGGAGGAGAACGCAUAAGGAACUGGACAGAAGGCUCUAAUGAAACAGGCUGAGAAAUCUCAGAUGAUUGUGAAAUUUUUAAGAGGCAAAUCCCAGAAUAUAGGACGUCCAGGCUUACAAAAAUGGCUAGAGAAGAGCCAUCAAACUACAAUUAAGCCUCAUGUUGAUUAUAGUAAAAUUAAAAUACUUAAUAAUCUUUGCAUUUGGUACAGUGC